rnacentral:rRNA from 1 species
GAUGAACGCUGGCGGCGUGCCUAAUACAUGCCAGUCGAGCGAACGGACGAGAAGCUUGCUUCUCUGAUGUUAGCGGCGGACGGGUGAGUAACACGUGGAUAACCUACCUAUAAGACUGGGAUAACUUCGGGAAACCGGAGCUAAUACCGGAUAAUAUUUUGAACCGCAUGGUUCAAAAGUGAAAGACGGUCUUGCUGUCACUUAUAGAUGGAUCCGCGCUGCAUUAGCUAGUUGGUAAGGUAACGGCUUACCAAGGCAACGAUGCAUAGCCGACCUGAGAGGGUGAUCGGCCACACUGGAACUGAGACACGGUCCAGACUCCUACGGGAGGCAGCAGUAGGGAAUCUUCCGCAAUGGGCGAAAGCCUGACGGAGCAACGCCGCGUGAGUGAUGAAGGUCUUCGGAUCGUAAAACUCUGUUAUCAGGGAAGAACAUAUGUGUAAGUAACUGUGCACAUCUUGACGGUACCUAAUCAGAAAGCCACGGCUAACUACGUG